rnacentral:rRNA from 1 species
UACGUAGGGGGCAAGCGUUGUCCGGAAUCAUUGGGCGUAAAGCGCGCGUAGGCGGCCCGGUAAGUCCGUUGUGAAAGUCAAAGGCUCAACCUUUGAACGCCGAUGGAUACUGCCGGGCUAGAGUCCGGAAGAGGCGAGUGGAAUUCCUGGUGUAGCGGUGAAAUGCGCAGAUAUCAGGAGGAACACCGAUUGCGAAGGCAGCGCGCUGGGACGUAACUGACGCUGAGACGCGAAAGCGUGGGGAGCAAACAGG